rnacentral:lncRNA from 1 species
UUCCCUUCGUGGGAACCUCCUGCAGACACCCAAAGAAGGGGGAGAGGGAGCGAGAGCAGCAGCUCCGACAGCCGUACUGCGGCACGGCCGCUCUCCUACGGGCCCGGCUCACUCGGGGGGUGCAUUUUGAGCAGAGGCUGCAUGAGCCUGGUGAGAAAGAUGUGGUCUGAGAGUGUUGGAGGGGCUACACAUCCCCCUGAGCCGUUUUAAUAUGUUGAUGUUUGAUGCUGUUAGGAAACUGAUAAUUCUUAGCAUGUGGAUGAUCUUUCCUAAGCAGCCUGAACGGCCGCGUCUCCGUGCGCGGGCACCCUGGGAGGCACAGGCUGCGUGCUUACCUUCCCUCCUCUCGGAGCUUCAAGCCUGGGAAAACUCCUGUUCAAACACAUGGGGAUGGAAAACGAGGUAG